GACGAACGCUGGCGGCGUGCUUAACACAUGCAAGUCGAGCGGUAAGGCCCCUUCGGGGGUACACGAGCGGCGAACGGGUGAGUAACACGUGAGCAACCUACCCUCAACUUCGGGAUAAGCCUCGGAAACGGGGUCUAAUACCGGAUAUCAUCUCCUGCUUCAUGGCAGGGGGUUGAAAGUUCUGGCGGUUGGGGAUGGGCUCGCGGCCUAUCAGCUUGUUGGUGGGGUAAUGGCCUACCAAGGCGUCGACGGGUAGCCGGCCUGAGAGGGCGACCGGCCACACUGGGACUGAGACACGGCCCAGACUCCUACGGGAGGCAGCAGUGGGGAAUAUUGCGCAAUGGACGAAAGUCUGACGCAGCAACGCCGCGUGAGGGAUGACGGCCUUCGGUU
rnacentral:rRNA from 1 species